GUGCCAGCCGCCGCGGUAAUACAGAGGGUGCGAGCGUUGUCCGGAAUCACUGGGCGUAAAGGGCGCGUAGGCGGCUUCUCACGCGUGCGGUGAAAGCCCGGGGCUCAACCCCGGGUCGGCCGUGCGGACGGGGAGGCUGGAGUCUGGUAGAGGCCGAUGGAAUUCCGGGUGUAGCGGUGGAAUGCGUAGAGAUCCGGAAGAACACCAGUGGCGAAGGCGGUCGGCUGGGCCAGUCCCGUGAGGGAGCCUGAGGCAACUCGGGUACUGACGCUGAGGCGCGACAGCGUGGGGAGCAAACAGGAUUAGAAACCCCUGUAGUCC
rnacentral:rRNA from 1 species